rnacentral:lncRNA from 1 species
GUUUAUUUGGUGCAAGUAUUGGUUUUAUGUCUACAUUGAUGGGUGGUUUAUACCAGGAGAAUUAUAAUUUCAUUCGUUUAAACGGGCAGUGCAUUAGAGUGAAAUUAAUUUCUCCUGGGUGUUUCAUCAUAUGUAGCAUAGAGGGCGUAAUGUUUUCCCGCUUCAAAAUUAUUUUCGCGGUAUUUUAUUGCCUAUGUAAUCAUUCAGCACGACAUCGUCAAUCUGAGCAGUCGAAUUUUCUUGGUAAAUUUUAAUUCUGGUUAAAGUUUAUUAAGCUUUUUAUUUGGAGAGUUUUUUUUUUGUUUUUGAUACUGAUGUUUGAGUUAUAUAUUAUAUGUGUAGAUAUAUAUGUAUGUAUUGAUAUUAUUUACCUUUACAUAUAGAGCAUCGGCGUUGUCGUGCGACUAUCCACUUUACAAAGUCUUUGGUAUUUAUUAUAGCCUUUUAUGGCGUUUAUAUUCAGAGUGUAUAUGUAUA